rnacentral:rRNA from 1 species
CUGCUGCCUCCCGUAGGAGUUUGGUCCGUGUCUCAGUACCAAUGUGGGGGGGUUAACCUCUCAGUCCCCCUAUGUAUCGUUGUCUUGGUGAGCCGUUACCCCACCAACUAACUAAUACAACGCAUGCCCAUCCAUUACCACCGGAGUUUUCAACCCAAGAAGAUGCCUCCCUGGAUGUUAUGGGGUAUUAGUACCGAUUUCUCAGUGUUAUCCCCCUGUAAUGGGUAGGUUGCAUACGCGUUACGCACCCGUGCGCCGGUCGCCGACAUAGA